rnacentral:RNase_P_RNA from 1 species
CCAAGAUUAAUUUAGCAAAAGGGAUACACAUGCUUAAGAUACAUAUGUAACCAUCGAAACUAUCUUGGGAAGGUCUUAGACGUUAGUUUUUCGAAAAAUACGCUCUAGAAGAGCGGUCUCGUCAAUCGUGACGCGGAGAAACAGCGGUCAUCCGUGCUUUUCUUUACCGUGGACGCCAAGUUAACGUCUUUCCCACUCUAUCCCAAUCAUUUUGUCCUUCUCUGUUUCUUUACCUUUGUCGAUCUUUCGCCUUCCCUGUAUCUCUUCUGUUCUCUCUUGCGUUUGUUCUCUUCGAUUCUUGACUCGACUCUACGACUUGGCGGAUGUAUCAGAGUGGGGAAGCUCUGGUAGAGGUCGCCCGGUCAUGCCGAUGGAAAUUCCCGCGACUCGUAAUUUUAGCACAAUCUUCAAGCUGUCUCGUCGGGAGGAAAUUUAAUUCAGAUUAUAUUCUGAUCUUGA